CAGAACAUGGACACAAUGCAAUUGGGAUCAAGAAGGUACAGAUGUUGUAGGACAGCUGCAUUUGAAGUGUACAUUUAACCUACCUAGCAGUCAAUACAAACUGAAGUCUAUUAGCAUACAAAUGUGUAUAAAUUAUCUUUUCAGAUCUUCUCAGAAAUGAAUCAAGUCCAUGGAAUGGAUAUAGACAAAAAGAGAAUUCAAGGACUAGCAGAGGUAAAGAGGUGAGGCAGGGGUGAGGAGACCAUCCUGCUAUUUUGACAGUCCCUGAAGGACAAUACAGAAGAGGACUGGAGACCACAGCAGCGAUCCUGCUCUUGCCCUACCUCUUCAAGAGGACCCGAGUGGCCUUUAUGUCAGUGACAAGAUUUCACCACUCUUCACUCCGUUACUGCACAUCGGCGGAAAUCCAUUUCACCAUGAGAGUGAAAUCCCGCUGGCCUUUGAUGGGGAGAACGUCCACGCCCUCGAGGACUUGGGGCUCUGCUACGACUGCAUUUAAAAAAUCCCUUAAAUUUCCCAAAAUGUCAGAAAAACACAUAUGUUCUUAAGUUACUGUGUUCUGGGGAUAAGAGAAGUUGGGGUGAAGUUACCAGGACCGGUCAUAAAGAUGGCAAAAUUCCGAACAUAACUAAAUGGAUACGAUAUACACACUAAAGCUGAAAAAUCUGUAUUUAGCAUCAAGUCUACAAUAUUGUUAGUUUACCUAUGAUUCAUUUUUAAUGUAUGUUGUUUUUAUUGUACAUCAUUAUUCAUAUAUAUUUUUUAAAUGUCAUGAAAAGCCCUAUACAAAGUAAAUGUAUUAUUUAUUAUGGUCUGACAUGUCUGCAGAAACUUUGCAAUUUUGUAAAGUGUUUGUUUGGUAAACUGUUUUGUAAAUAUGAAUUCAUAUUUGUGGUGCCACUAAAUAAACAAUU
rnacentral:lncRNA from 1 species